rnacentral:rRNA from 1 species
GACGUAGGGGGCAAGCGUUGUUCGGAAUUAUUUGGGCGUAAAGCGCUCGUAGGCGGGAUUGGAAAGUCCGUGUUGAAAGACCUCGGCUCAACUGAGGGACCGGCUCGGAUACUCUAAUUCUUGAGGCAAUCAGAGGAUGAUGGAAUUCCCGGUGUAGCGGUGAAAAUGCGUAGAUAUCGGGAGGAACACCAGUGGCGAAGGCGAUCAUCUGGGGUUGUUCUGACGCUGAGGAGCGAAAAGCUAGGGGAGCAAACGGG